ACUGGCAGGCUAGAGUCUUGUAGAGGGGGGUAGAAUUCCAGGUGUAGCGGUGAAAUGCGUAGAGAUCUGGAGGAAUACCGGUGGCGAAGGCGGCCCCCUGGACAAAGACUGACGCUCAGGUGCGAAAGCGUGGGGAGCAAACAGGAUUAGAUACCCUGGUAGUCCACGCCGUAAACGAUGUCGAUUUGGAGGUUGUGCCCUUGAGGCGUGGCUUCCGGAGCUAACGCGUUAAAUCGACCGCCUGGGGAGUACGGCCGCAAGGUUAAAACUCAAAUGAAUUGACGGGGGCCCGCACAAGCGGUGGAGCAUGUGGUUUAAUUCGAUGCAACGCGAAGAACCUUACCUGGUCUUGACAUCCACAGAACUUUCCAGAGAUGGAUUGGUGCCUUCGGGAACUGUGAGACAGGUGCUGCAUGGCUGUCGUCAGCUCGUGUUGUGAAAUGUUGGGUUAAGUCCCGCAACGAGCGCAACCCUUAUCCUUUGUUGCCAGCGGUU
rnacentral:rRNA from 2 species